GUGAAGGGUGCUCCAGCAGCAGGCUAGAGAAGAGGGAUGUUCUGGAGCCCUGUGAUUGGUUGUGCCUGAGGAGAAACCAGAGAUCCCAGCGGGGCCGAAGAGAAAGAACCCUUGCUCCGCUCACCCGAAGUGGGCGCAUUCCUGUCCCACUGGGUCUGGAAUCGAGCCCUUGCCCCGCGUGAGGACCUAGUAUGAACGUGACAAGAAAGGGCCCUUUUCGUUACUUUUUAAAGCAAGGUCCAUCGUCAGUUGGACGAUCCCACCUUCAGUGGAGGUGACGGUUUACAGUUCGCCACCCUGGCUGCCAGGCCCGACCAAGCCUUCGGACAUCACUGUCUGCUGUUUCCUAGCGGCCAGUCCAGGAGACACACUGCCCUGCUGGGCUCUCCAGCCUCCCCCCUUGUCCUUGCUAAUUAUUAUUUUUAUUAAUUGUGUGGAUGGCGAGGGCGGCCACGGCGUAGGAGACCACAGGGGCUGAUCUCACUGGCGUUCUAGCGAGGUCUCUGGGAGGGUGGCAGGACAGCAGACCGACCGGGGCGCUGGGAAGCCACGCUAACCUCAUUCACACUCUCGGAGC